GAUGAACGCUGGCGGCGUGCCUAAUACAUGCAAGUCGAGCGAAAAGAUGAGGAGCUUGCUCCUCUGACGUUAGCGGCGGACGGGUGAGUAACACGUGGAUAACCUACCUAUAAGACUGGGAUAACUUCGGGAAACCGGAGCUAAUACCGGAUAAUAUAUUGAACCGCAUGGUUCAAUAGUGAAAGACGGUUUUGCUGUCACUUAUAGAUGGAUCCGCGCCGCAUUAGCUAGUUGGUAAGGUAACGGCUUACCAAGGCAACGAUGCGUAGCCGACCUGAGAGGGUGAUCGGCCACACUGGAACUGAGACACGGUCCAUACUCCUACGGGAGGCAGCAGUAGGGAAUCUUCCGCAAUGGGCGAAAGCCUGACGGAGCAACGCCGCGUGAGUGAUGAAGGUCUUCGGAUCGUAAAACUCUGUUAUUAGGGAAGAACAAAUGUGUAAGUAACUAUGCACGUCUUGACGGUACCUAAUCAGAAAGCCACGGCUAACUACGUG
rnacentral:rRNA from 1 species